rnacentral:sRNA from 1 species
GCCAGGUGUGGUGGUAGCGCACGCCUGUAAACCCAGCGGCUCAGGAGGCUGAGGGAGGAGGAUCGCUGUAGGAGGAUCGCAAGCUCAAAGCCAGCCUCAGCAACAGCAAGACGUUAAGCAAUUCAGUGAGCCCCUGCCUCUA